UUUUCUCUGGAGAGUCCCGGACUGACGGGCGCCGAAGGUGUACGCCGCGCGCAAAGGCAAUAGCCGCGCAGUGGUAAUCUCUCAGGCAAAAGGACAGAGCGA
rnacentral:ncRNA from 1 species